CUUUCUCUCUCUCUCUCUCUCUCUCUCUCUCUUCUCCCACCACUCGUGUGGGCAGUAGCCUGUAGUUCAGAUCAGUCGCUUCGGCUCGACUUGGCCUGUGUUUAUGCUGAGGGCCAGAGGCCAGCCUGCAGCACCAGCUGUGGUUGAGGAACAAACGAGAGACAGAGCGAGGGAGAGAUGGAGCAGAUAGCUAUUGCUGCUGCAGUUGCUACAGUACAUCCACUGGGUUGCUGCGGGUAACGUCCACGCAUCGUGUGUCAUUUCAUUUUACCCACGUCCCCCCUGGCCGCACCGUGGGCUGGGAAAUCCGCCAGUGACACAACAAGCCCUGGCGCAGACGCGCUUUCCUCUCUCUGAAAACAAUGGCCUCGCUCGGCUGCAAGGUUUUUUUUUUUUUCGUUUUUUUGUUCAGUGUCGGAAAGGCUGCGAGCGUCUGCUCCCGAUGGCUGAGCUGAACUUCGCUUGAAAUGCUCUGGAGUUCAUAAGGCCAGCUGUCGUGCAGAUAACCAGUGCAAUCCAUUCUUUAGGCUAGACAAUGUGAAAUGAGCAACCAGGGCUCCAGCCAUGAAGUCAUGAAUAAUGUAACAAUGUUUCACUUGUUUGUGAUCUAUAUUUUUGGUAUGGGUUAGACAUAUUCCUUGUUGCAAUAUGAAUCCGUGGUACGCUGCAGUACAGCUAGCGUUGUCAUUGUGUAGGAUUGUAGGCUACAUGCCUUUCGUGCAGCACAUGGCCAAUAAGGUUCUGAGUCGGUCUGUCCCCUUUCGUUUGCAGUGGAAAAUCCUUGUGUAAUGAAAGUUGGUCAUAUUGCAUAUUUGCCUAUCUGCAAUGCAUUACGCUGAUAAAAACUCUUCUCUGCCUCCUCUGAUCUUUUAUUGUGUUUCCCCUACCCCUUAAGCCUUCUUUAUGAAAUGUCUGCUGCUUUAAAGCUGAGGUUUGUGUGAUUUAACGUCAACAGAACUUGUCGUCCUGUGCCAAUGAAUAAAAAGGGAAAACACAAAGCCA